rnacentral:lncRNA from 1 species
GUGUUUUCUUAAUGGAUUUGCAUUGCGUUCAGGUUGCCGAUCGCGUUUUCUUAAUGGAUUUGCGAUGCAUGCUUCAGAUUGUUGAAGCACACACAUGAAACUGACUUGACACAAGUUUUCAUUUGAUAAGUAAGAGAUAUGUUUAACCAUUAUGCAGCAAAGCCAGGAUUAGCUUCAUAUCUAAAACCUUAAGAACAGAGAACAGCUCCAGAUAGAUAAAUCAAACUUCUUCAAAUUGAAUUUCGAACAUGUUUUGCUGCAGCAGCUUGGUUUGUCAAAACAAUAACCUUCUUCAAAGCAUGCAUCAGCCUGGCUUUUUGAUUUGGUGAUAUCUAUAAAAUAAUUUUUGUUUUCAAUUCUGAGAGCGUAUUUUUCUUGAAGUUGUCUUUUGAUCUUGUAUAAGUUGUUGAAGUUUGUGUUUCUUCCGUGUUGAGGUUUUUGUGUUUCUAUUAUCAGGGACUUAGAUCUUUGGCUAAGUGCAAAUUAUGGAAUUAGAUACCAUCUUUGAAUCUUUGAUAUAGCCCAAGCACGUCUCAGUGUCGUGUGUCAGAUACUGACGCUUCCUACUAUGGCUGCACUUUAAUUUGGUCAUCACUACCAAGACUUUUACGCUUUAGUCUUUGUUUGAUUUGAUACACAACAUCUACUUUUGUCGGAUUCUUUGAGUUGUGUGAGUUUUGCAGGGAGAUGCAUUUAUCCCGUUUCGCAGAAAGCAUGGUGGAUAUCCAGAAUGCCUUGAUACAACAACCAGAACAGGAAAUAACUCUAGAUAGCUAAAUCAAUUUUUUAUGGGUCAUUCUUUACUAUUUUUAUUUCCGACCUUUGAUUGCAAGGCAUACAAAUUAAUUUCUGAAGUGUUUUGCUUCAGCGUGGUUGUUUCCAACUAAUAACCUUCUUCAGGGCAUGGAGCUUAGCAUUUCAAUUUUUGAUUUGGUGAUCUCCAUUAAAUUCUUUUUAUAUUGAUUCUAUUUUUUGGUUCUGAAACCAUAUCUUCUUUGAUUUGGUGUUUACUCUCUGGUGUUGCAGGAUAUUUAAUAUGUUAACAGACGAUUUCUUCUUGUUCUAUUUUCCUCUUGUUUGAUCUUCAUGGCUGUUGAUUUUUGCUUUCUUGAUUCUUAGGUUUGAUUUGGUUUUUGUUAGUUUUGACCUUGGAAGUUACUGUCUACUAUUAUUUUGUUAGGGUUUUAAAUGAUUGUUCUUUUGUGUAUACAUAUGGGUGACCUUGGAAGUCACUUUUUUCUACAUUCUCCCAAGUGGAUAUUUAUCGAAGUGGGGAUGCCGAAAUUUUUACCGUUUCAUAUGGACUGUGUAUAUUUGUUCCACAAUAGUCCUCCUUUAUUGCAUGCUUAACAUUGCUGAACAGAAUUGUGGAGCAUAUCUCUUCUCGCUACCUUCUCCGUUUUUAAGCAAAUUGUGGCCGUGUUUGAUUUGAUGAUCUACAUCUAAAGAGAGUUAUUCUUGCACUCUUUUACUGUUUGUUUCUUUUAUUUCUGAUAUAUUGGAAUAGGAAUUCGUUUCCUCUCUAAGGAUUUCAUCGGGCACCAGAAUUCAUUAUUAGAACCAUCAUGUUCUGCAGACUGUAAGAUAAUCUCUAAGGAAUUCGAGUCAUACAUUUCUGUAGGAAACUUGUUUCAUUUUGUAGAGUGAACAGCGUGGUUUGGGAAAGUAUCUCCAUCCGGUGUUUGGUAAGGUAAAUUAUGCUCAUAUUGAGAUCCAAAGUAUGCAAUUUGAUGGCAAUUGUUCCAAACAUAAAUAUUUUGUUGGUUGUGUCCUAUGUUCUCACUAUUUCUAGAUUAUAAUCAGAAGAUCUAUAUAGUAAUGUGGUGUUUGUUAGUGGAUAUAGUACACAUCUUUAAGCGCAAGAUAUAUUAUCAGAUGAUUGACAAAGCAGUUUUGGUAUAUAAUUAUCAGAUGAUAGCACCAUUAUCACGAUUAUUUUACAUUAAUAGCCCAUCAUACAACAAUAUAUAUAAUAUACAUCUUUACUUUUGGAGUAUGCCAUUCCUUUUUUUAUGAUGCUUAGUGGAUUAGUCAAAAGUUCAUUAAGACUUGCAGCAACAACAAUAUAUAUAAUAUACAUCUUUACUUUUGGAGUAUGCCAUUCCUUUUUUUAUGAUGCUUAGUGGAUUAGUCAAAAGUUCAUUAAGACUUGCAGCAAUCUUUAUGUGUAAUCUAAUCUAGACGUUCACUCUGCUCAAUAUUUGUAAACGGACAAGAACACCGGCUAUUUGUAAACGGACAAGAACACCGGCCCUCUUUCAUCUCAACUGUUGAUCUACAACUACUUGGUAGUCUACACUUCAUGCUAGACAAACCAAAGAUGAGUAGUAUCUCUACUAUAUACGUGUGAUUCUGCGUCACAAUCAGGUAUUUUUUUAUUCAUAUUUGUAAAGUUUCACCUCAUUCAUAUACUAACUUGAGCGUCGGAGUGCUAACCUUUUUUUGCAGGUACCCCUCUUACCUCAAAACGAAUGUCUUACCGCGGUAGUUGUCUUUGUCUUCAGCCUUACAUUGUUUCAGUAUGGAAUAGUUAUAAUUGAAUGUUCUAAAUCUUCUUCAUACAAGUCUUUUGCAUGCAUGCUGAAGUUCUGAUUUUUUUUUCAAUUGAGUGCUAGAUAAUGUUUCUUUCCAUAACAUAUAAGCUCCCAAAUUUCGUACAGUCGCAAUACAUAUAAGCUCUUGGUUAAUAACAAGAGCGGUGAAGAAUCUACUGGCAAUGGGGAGAUGGAACAAGGAGGAGAAAUCAUCCAAAGUGAUUAGCUUCAUAUCUAAAACCUUAAGAACAGAGAACAGCU